rnacentral:tRNA from 1 species
GGGAAUGUGGAUUAGUGGUAGAGUACUUGCCUAGCAUGCAUGAAACCCUGGGUUCGAUUCCCUGCCCG